rnacentral:other from 1 species
UGUCUACUGUAAUACUCGAUAACUGGAACUCGAUCCUUGAUCCUUAACUAUCAACUUAGGGAGCCUCUGUAUUGAUAGUGUGUGCAUACUCGCUAGACGAGGAGCCUAAUCUUUCAAUCGUUGCACCCGCCCUUGAACCUCAGGUUCAGGGACGUUGAUCCAGCCGGUACUAAUGGUAGACAC